AACCACCUACCCGCGGUUCACAACGUGAGUUGCAGCGAUCGGGCCCUCCCUCGCAGUGACGCAUACAGAAACGACCAAGGAAAUCCCCAAGUGAGAGUUACGACAGACUCUCACCGCCGUAGAUAGUAGGCAACUUCCGACUCGCGUUGAACACGGCGUACAAAUCGACAUAGAAACCAAAUACGUGUAAACUGUGUCCACGCUCCGGACAAAUACAAGGUGUGGUAAACACAGCUUUGGAAUCAGUUUAGGUGGAUUGAGAAACAUUCGUCGCCGUCGCGGAAGUGCACAGCCAACCAACGACUUGCUGUCGUUUUUUUAUGAAUACACCGACCGAAGUACAACAGCAGGAGGUCAUGUACGGCAUGGCAGAGAUGCCCGAUCUCAUACCACCGACAGGUGCUUUACAACCCAGUCCAGUACUCCCGUACGACCACGGACAGGCAGGGCGAAACAGACCAGACCUCCUGUCCGCCCCACGAAGAAUGCAGCGAGCCCCCAAACUCGGACAGAUCGGGCGGUCUACGAGAGUGGUUAUUGAUGAUGAGGACUUGGAUGAUAUCAUAAACAAUAACAGAAGCUUCCCGGCAUCUCAGAGAGUAUCACCUGUUGCCUGAAGUGUGACGGACUGUGCCAAAGCUGUUAGGAGGCCAGCACACCAACAGCAGGCCUACACAAUUUAAUCGAACUAAAAUCUCCCUCUCACAUGUUCUCACUUGUCGUCACCUUUCACUGUACAGCUUUUAAGGCUUUCGCCACUUCAAGAUCAAACAAGAGAACUGUGGACUUUUCUUCCUGUUCACUUUAUGCUUGCUCAUCACUUAACUGAUGUUGUGCUUCUGUAGCACUGAAUGAUCCUGUCUGGUGUCCUCUGUGUUGGAUGUUUCAUUUUUGAGGUGAAGAUCUUGAUGAUCUCUAAUGCAACAGGGCUAUAUUUAUUAAAUUUGCACUUUACUCCAGAAUAAGAAAGCUAACCUCUGCAGGUUGGAUUACUCAUCUCCCAAAGAGGACAUUUUCCUGUGAAACUGUUAACGUGUAACGCGCCAUUUGGUAAGACCUGUGGUUAGCUCAGUAAUCAGGGUCUACCUUGACAUUCUUCUGAAUGACAUCAGUUCAUUGUUUGGAGUUUUUUGUUUGGUCACUGUUUUUAUGUGCCUGUUGAUUUUAGUUUGAAUUGAAUCAAGUAUGGUCUUAAAUGCAUACUGAUUGAGAUGAACAAUCAAAUCUUCUAAAUUGAUCUCAUAUGUUGGUCAAAGUACAUUGCUCUUAAAAAUGGCUUUGACUUCUAGAUGUUUGCAUGGAAAUUAAUGGAUUUUUGUAAACUGUUUUAGGGAAGUGCGGUGUAAUGGGAGUAAUAAAUAAAGUAUGCAUGAGUAACUUUA